GUGCUCACUUCAGCACAUACUAAAAUUGAAUGAUCAGAGAUUAGCAUGGCCCCUGUUCAUGCAAAUUCGUGACAUGCAAAUUUGUGAAGCGUUCCAUAUUUUU
rnacentral:snRNA from 1 species